rnacentral:rRNA from 1 species
GAUGAACGCUGGCGGCGUGCUUAACACAUGCAAGUCGAACGAAGCACUUUAUUUGAUUUCCUUCGGGACUGAUUAUUUUGUGACUGAGUGGCGGACGGGUGAGUAACGCGUGGGUAACCUGCCUUGUACAGGGGGAUAACAGUUGGAAACGGCUGCUAAUACCGCAUAAGCGCACAGCAUCGCAUGAUGCAGUGUGAAAAACUCCGGUGGUAUAAGAUGGACCCGCGUUGGAUUAGCUAGUUGGUGAGGUAACGGCCCACCAAGGCGACGAUCCAUAGCCGACCUGAGAGGGUGACCGGCCACAUUGGGACUGAGACCCGGCCCAAACUCCUACGGGAGGCAGCAGUGGGGAAUAUUGCACAAUGGGCGAAAGCCUGAUGCAGCGACGCCGCGUGAGCGAAGAAGUAUUUCGGUAUGUAAAGCUCUAUCAGCAGGGAAGAUAAUGACGGUACCUGACUAAGAAGCACCGGCUAAAUACGU